AACGAACGCUGGCGGCAGGCUUAACACAUGCAAGUCGAGCGCAUCCUUCGGGGUGAGCGGCCGACGGGUGAGUAACGCGUGGGAAUCUACCUUUUGCUACGGCAUAGCUCCGGGAAACUGGAAUUAAUACCGUAUGUGCCCUUAGGGGGAAAGAUUUAUCGGCAAGCGAUGAGCCCGCGUUGGAUUAGCUAGUUGGUGGGGUAAAGGCCUACCAAGGCGACGAUCCAUAGCUGGUCUGAGAGGAUGAUCAGCCACAUUGGGACUGAGACACGGCCCAAACUCCUACGGGAGGCAGCAGUGGGGAAUAUUGGACAAUGGGCGCAAGCCUGAUCCAGCCAUGCCGCGUGAGUGAUGAAGGCCUUAGGGUUGUAAAGCUCUUUCACCGGAGAAGAUAAUGACGGUAUCCGGAGAAGAAGCCCCGGCUAACUUCGUG
rnacentral:rRNA from 1 species